rnacentral:rRNA from 1 species
UGGGGAAUAUUGCACAAUGGGCGCAAGCCUGAUGCAGCCAUGCCGCGUGUAUGAAGAAGGCCUUCGGGUUGUAAAGUACUUUCAGCGGGGAGGAAGGGAGUAAAGUUAAUACCUUUGCUCAUUGACGUUACCCGCAGAAGAAGCACCGGCUAACUCCGUGCCAGCAGCCGCGGUAAUACGGAGGGUGCAAGCGUUAAUCGGAAUUACUGGGCGUAAAGCGCACGCAGGCGGUUUGUUCAGUCAGAUGUGAAAUCCCCGGGCUCAACCUGGGAACUGCAUCUGAUACUGGCAAGCUUGAGUCUCGUAGAUGGGGGUAGAAUUCCAGGUGUAGCAGUGAAAUGCGUAGAGAUCUGGAGGAAUACCGGUGGCGAAGGCGGCCCCCAGGACGAAGACUGACGCUCAGGUGCGAAAGAGUGGGGAGCAAACAGG